rnacentral:rRNA from 1 species
AUUGAACGCUGGCGGCAUGCCUAACACAUGCAAGUCGAGCGGAUGAAGGGAGCUUUCUCCUGGAUUCAGCGGCGGACGGGUGGGUAAUGCCUACGAAUCUGCCUUACAGAUAGGGCUAACAUCCCGACACGGGCGCUAAUACCGCAUCCGUUCAUAUGUUGAACCGCGUGGAUCUUCGGACCACACGGUAUUUGAUGAGCCUAGGUCGGAUUAGCUAGUUGGUUUGGUAAGGGCUUACCAAGGCGACGAUGCGUAACUGGUCUGAGAGGCUGAUCAGUCACACUGGAACUGAGACACGGUCCAGACUCCUACGGGAGGCAGCAGUAGGGAAUAUUCGACAACGGGCGAAAGCCUGACGGAGCAAUGCCGCGUGUGUGAAGAAGGUCUUCGGAUUGUAAAGCUCUUUAAGUUGGGAGGAACGGCAGUAAGUGUAUACAUGGAUGUCUUGACGGUACCAACAGAAUAAGCACCGGCUAACUUCGUG